UCGGCGGCGCGGCGGGGCCCGGCCUCUUUCUGUGCCCGCCGCCGUGGGGGCGGGCUGCCAGGAGGUGAGGUGAGGGGCGCCGGGCCGCCUCCCGCCCGCCAUGAGGGGAGGUGAGGGGCGCCGGGCCGCUUCCCGCCCGCCAUGAGGGGAGGUGAGGGGCGCCGGGCCGCUUCCCGCCCGCCAUGAGGGGAGGUGAGGGGCGCCGGGCCGCUUCCCGCCCGCCAUGAGGGGAGGUGAGGGGCGCCGGGCCGCUUCCCGCCCGCCAUGAGGUGAGGGGCACCGGGGCUGGAGGUCUGGGGCGCCUCACUCCUCCCCAGGGCUCUGGAAACGGAAAACGUCACGUGAAAUAGUCCCUGGGGGUUUUCUGUGUGUGUUUUUUUUUGUUUGCUUGUGUUUUUUUGGUUGGUUGGUUGUUGGGUUUUUUUGUUGUUAACGGCUGAAAGGCGGUCAUGCAUAGCCACCUGCGCUGGCUGAUAACCUCUGAGGCCCUGGGACCGGGCUUACAGCUGACCCGCAGCCUCAGCGUGCGCAGGGGGAUCACGGUGACUCGAGGUCCUGGGUGGCAGAGCGGUGUGGAAGAUGCAGCCCUCACAGAACCGGCCCUCACCCGUGGCCUUCGGUUGUGAAACCCCCCGAGUUUUGCAGUAGCGUGACCCGUGCUGGGGGAGAUGUAAAGGAAUAACCUGCCCGUGAGGCACGGGGAGAGCUUCAGGACGCUUUCAAGGCAAAUAAUUUGCAUGUUUUGCUGCAUUUGGGGGCUUGCUGGAGCAGCAGUAGUUGUCAGAAGAAAAGGAAGAAGCUGUUGGUGCUGCUGUGGAGAUCCCCAUUUGAAAGAGACUGAGAAGAUGGAAACUUACAGUCCACAAUUUAAAUGGGGCUGGUAGAGAAGUGCUUGUAACUUGGAACAUCAAAGGUGGUUGUGGGCAAGGUGUAACAAGAAUUACAUAUACAAUCUGUUAAUUAUUAAUCCCCUCUCACUACUUGUUUAAAAUUAUAUUUUUUUUCUGUGACCUCUAUUUAUUAAACUUAUUUAUAUUUAAACUUG